rnacentral:rRNA from 1 species
CACAAGCGGUGGAGCGUGUUGUUUAAUUCGAUGGUAAGCGAAGAACCUUACCCAGACUUGACAUCCUUGGAAGCACUGCGAAAGCAGAGUGUGCCUCCGGGAACCAAGUGACAGGUGUUGCAUGGCCGUCGUCAGCUCGUGUCGUGAGAUGUUUGGUUAAGUCCAUCGACGAGCGCAACCCUUGUGGCUAGUUGAAUUUUUCUAGUCAGACUGCCCUGGUAACAGGGAGGAAGGAGGGGAUGAUGUCAGGUCAGUAUUACCCUUACGUCUGGGGCUACAAACACGCUACAAUGGCCGGUACAAAGGGCUGCCAAGUCGCGAGACGGAGCAAAUCCCAUCAAAACCGGUCCCAGUUCGGAUUGCAGGCUGAAACUCGCCUGCAUGAAGUCGGAAUCGCUAGUAACGGUAGGUCAGCACACUACCGUGAAUACGUUCCCGGGUCUUGUACACACCGCCCGUCAAACCAUGAAAGUCGCCAAUACCUGACGUCUUAGCUAGUCUAGGCCUAAGGUAGGGGAGAUGAUUGGGGUUAAGUCGUAACAAGGCAAC